UUGUUAAAUUUUAACAAUCUGAUAAGUAUAAAUAAGUAAAAUCCCUUUGCAUUUUAGUUUUCAUUUUGGAUACUUAAUAGGUUGAGCUUGUGUUGUUUAUAAUUUUUUAUGCUGAGCUUAUCCAUAGCAGGGCUUGUGUUUUCUGUAGGGGUCCCAUAGGCCCUGGUCUUUAAAAGUAGUUUUGUCUUUGCUCCUGCUGGGAGGGAGCCCCAAGGAUUUCAUAGGCCUUAGGCUAUGCAAAUCUAAUCAUAUUAUUUUCUUUUUAAAAUUUCUAAAGAAGGAUUGCAGGAAAGAGUUGAGACUUCUUAGAUACACAAGACUGCAUGAUUUGACAUCUAUAUACCUCUUGAACAUCAACUUCAGCCUCAAGGUAUUACCUUGGUUUUAUACUUUUCUUUCAUUUCAGAUUUAGGGAACUUCUACUGAUCUGGCCCAUGGAUUAAUGGGGGCAUGGAACUAUUAUACUUUAUUCACUGGAGAGAGGUAGUAUAUUUUAUUCAGUAUUUCUACCUGUUUUUCUGGGGGAAAUAGUUCUAUAUUAGUGAAGUCUGCCAUGUUGCUAGAUUUGGAAUUUCAGCAUGGGACUUGCCUAUCCCUCUACCCCUAUUUUUUUUUCCCAAUGUGUACUUACUUUUCCCCUUGUCCCCUAAAAUCCAUUCAUGCUGAAAUGCUUGCAAGUCUCCUAAACUCAAACUACUUUGCUUCUACAUAUUUAGCUAGUCAUCUUCAAGGAUUGGAUCUGCCUCUACCCUCUCUGGAAAAACUCUGAGCCCAGAGGUUGUGUUGGAUGGCUUCUCUGGCCUUCCAACUGCCUUCUUGUUCUGCAACUGACCAUAUGUCUAUCUCAUGUAUAGACAGAGAACUUGAGGGCAGUGACAAUGUCUUAUUUUUUCCUUAGGAUGGAGAACGGAGGCCAGCACAGAGUAGAAACUCCAUAAAUAAUUUUUGAUUGAAUAGAUGACUAGAGAGUCCCUCUUUUAGCUUAUUUAUGUGGAAGUUGUGUGUGUGUGUGGGGGGGGGUGAUUAUAUGUGCCAGUAUGUAUAUGUAUUUGCAAAUACAUUAUUGUAUAUUUCUGGAUAUGCGUGCAAGUAUGUGUGUGUGCAUCCAAAUGUAUGUAUGUCCAUAUUUACACUGCUUCUUCUGAGUGGGAGACACCAACUGUUAGGUGGCAUUUGUGGAGAUGCUGUGAUGUUUGUGGUGACAGUGGAGAAGGGAAAUAAAGGAUAAUUGCCACUUUGGUGACCAAACUGUGGAAUAUGUGGUCCAAGCAGCUCUCAGUCAGAAACUCUCCCUAUGGAAGGUGCCUGUUAUGGGGGUGGAAUCCAUUCUACCUAAGCAAACACUGCAUUGCUUUUGCAUUUAGGGUUUUGGGGGGGGUGGAAUGAGUUUUGACAUCAAUGGACAGCCUCGGUGGACAAUGGUUCCUGUGGACCUGAUCUCUUUCAUGCCGAUUAAAACUUAUGUGCCAAGUUUUCACUUUUCAUUUUCUUUUUAAUCCUUUGAGGCCAGCUCCUGCCACACACAGGGCCCCUUUCCAUUCCAUUAAGCCUCUGCCUUCUAUUUCUGUGUGUCUUUUCCUCUCAUUACUCUGGGACGUGUGGGCAAACAGAAACUUUCUACCUGCGCUGCCACUCAACAUCUUUCUUUCUGCUUGAUUCACGGGAUGCUGUCUGGGGGUCCACCUUUAUUGGCACAGGAGUUCCAUGACCAUGAUAUCACCUCUGCACAGUUGGAGGACCCCAGCAUGAAUCAAGACAUCAGAGGAAAUGAAUGGUGAUCCCCCAAGGAGACAAGCUCAUAAAGUCCUCAUCAGUGACAGCAAAGGAAAUUAAGGAAAACCGAGAUCUACAAUCUCAUGAGAGAUACAGACACCUGUGCCGCUAUUAUAAGGGAGUGAAUGAAGGUGGGCAGAUGUUUGAGUUGGUGUGAAGAAGGAUCUGGAGACGUGUUGUACGCUUGGAGGAUGGAACUAGAGAGAGAGCAGCAGGGGGCGAGGGAGAAGCAGACUCCCCACUGAGCAGGGAGCCUGAUGCUGGACUUCAUUCUAGGAUCUCCGAUCAUGACCUGAGCGGAAGGCAGACCCUUAACCAGCUGAACCACCCAGGCGACCCUAAAAUGAACAAUUUUAAAGAUUUAUUUAUUUAUUUAUUUGAGAGAGAGAAUGAGAGAGAGAGCACAUGAGAGGGAGGAGGGUCAGAGGGAGAAGCAGACUCCCUGCUGAGCAGGGAGCCCGAUGCGGGACUUGAUUCCGGGACUCCAGGAUCAUGACCUGAGCCGAAGGCAGUCGCUCAACCAACUGAGCCACCCAGGCGACCCCAUAGCUCUAUUUCUUUUUUUUUUUUUUUAAGAUUUUAUUUAUUUAUUUGAGAGAGAGAGAAUGAGAGAGAGCACAUGAGAGGGGGGAGGGUCAGAGGGAGAAGCAGACUCCCUGCUGAGGAGGGAGCCUGAUGCGGGACUCGAUCCCGGGACUCCAGGAUCAUGACCUGAGCCGAAGGCAGUCGCUCAACCAACUGAGCCACCCAGGCGACCCCAUAGCUCUCUUUCUUUUUUUUUUUUUAAAGAUUUUAUUUAUUUAUUUGAGAGAGAAUGAGAGACAGAGAGCAUGAGAGGGAGGAGGGUCAGAGGGAGAAGCAGACUCCCUGCUGAGCAAGGAGCCCGAUGCGGGACUCGAUCCCGGGACUCCAGGAUCAUGACCUGAGGCGAAGGCAGUCGCUUAACCAACUGAGCCACCCAGGCGCCCCCAAAAUGAACAGUUUUAGACACUAACUUAAAAAUGUGCUUUAGAGUACCUAAUUUUUCCAUAUUCUUUCGGAGGGCGGGUGAACCGAACAAGCUUGACCACCACUGUAAUAUAAGGUUCUUGAUGAGUUGCUCCCUAAAGGGUGCAGAGCAACGGGUAGGAAGCUGGAGGGACAGGGAACCAGAAGAGAUUUUUGUUUCUGGUUUGGCUUUGCUUUGCUUUUGUUUCUAAAGGAGAAAAUCUGUGCGCCAAGGAGAAUGAUUUAGGCGAGAGGGGCACGUGACAGGGUGGGCGGGAAGAGCGUGGGCGCGGAGUGCCAGCGGAGGCGAGGCCUAGGAAGGCGGCCAGGGCCACCUGCAGACCCCCAGGCGCGAGGGCGGCCAGAAGGCCGGCUCAGGCCGAGCGCCCACGUGGAUGCGGGGGGCGGGCCUCGGCGGCACGUGGCCCACGUGGCCGGACUGCGACUACUUCCGCAGUAAAAUGGCGGCAAGACCCGGUGCUGUGAGGCGGGGGGAGGAGGUGUUGGGCUGGGAAGAGAGAAGAUGUCAACGGUCCUUUGGAUUAGUGCGGAGGAAUCCCCUCGGGAAACGAGGUAGACUUGGAGUUGGUGACAGGAAUUUAUUGAGACCAGUCAGCAAGGUGCUGUGCUCCGGGGCCGCGUCCCGAGGCCGGCGCAGGUGAGGGCGGACGGGAGGUGGGUUUUAACCAGCGUGGGGGUUGGCACGGGCACAGGGUGUUGGUGGGGGGCGGGGAACGGGGUUGAGGCCCCGCAAAGGUGAUGGAGGCUGGCCUUGGAGCUGCGGAAGGAGUGAAAGGGCGGCAUAGAGCUGCGUGAUGGGAGCGGUGGCUCUCUGAAUCUGAGGGUGCAGGAGGGAUUUUUAUAUUCUAUACAUAAUUUUUUUCUCCCAAGAGCACUUUGUGACUCUCCAAUUCUCCUUUUCC